ensembl:snRNA U6 U6 spliceosomal RNA
GUGCUCGCUUUGGCAGCAUAUAUACUAAAACUGGAAUGAUACAGAGAAGAUUAGUGUGGCCCCUGCACAAGGAUGACGCACAAAUCUGUGAAGUGUUCCAUACAAAA